CUGCCUAACAUGAUGAUUUAAUGUCAUGUCUCUUCUCUGACUCUGUUACACUGAAGAUGGCAAAUGAAAUCUGAUUAGGCAG